rnacentral:rRNA from 1 species
UACAGAGGUCUCAAGCGUUGUUCGGAUUCAUUGGGCGUAAAGCGCGCGUAGGCGGCCCGGUAAGUCGGAUGUGAAAUCUCACGGCUCAACCGUGGAACUGCAUUCGAAACUGUCGGGCUAGAGGCAGGUAGGGGAGAUCGGAAUUCCCGGUGUAGCGGUGAAAUGCGCAGAUAUCGGGAGGAACACCGGUGGCGAAGGCGGAUCUCUGGGCCUGUCCUGACGCUCAGGCGCGAAAGCUAGGGGAGCGAACAGG